rnacentral:tRNA from 1 species
CUUUAAACUCUUAAUUUAAAAGAAAGUAGUUAAAUUCUACUAUUAAGGG